GGGGGGGGGGGGGGGGGGGGCGGGGGGGGGGGGGGGGGGGGGCGGGGGGGGGGGGGGGGGGGGGUGCGGGGGGCGGGGGGGGGGCGGGGGGGGACGGCAUCGGAAUCUGCUGUGUCGGGGGGGCGGCGGGGGGGGGGCUGACGCUAAGACCGCCUCCGACCUACGGGUGAAGGCAGGGGAUCUUCCGCCCUCGCGCGGUUGCAUGCGCCGCUUUCGGAUUGGCUAGUUGGCGGGGUAACGGCCCACCAAGGCGACGAUCCGUAGCUGGUCUGAGAGGAUGAUCAGCAACACUGGAACUGAGACACGGUCCAGACUCCUACGGGAGGCAGCAGUGGGGAAUAUUGGACAAUGGGCGCAAGCCUGAUCCAGCCAUACCGCGUGGGUGAAGAAGGCCUUCGGGUUGUAAAGCCCUUUUGUUGGGAAAGAAAAGCAGCAGGUUAAUACCCCGCUGUUCUGACGGUACCCAAAGAAUAAGCACCGGCUAACUUCGUG
rnacentral:rRNA from 1 species